rnacentral:rRNA from 1 species
UACGAAGGUGGCAAGCGUUGUCCGGAUUUAUUGGGUUUAAAGGGUGCGUAGGCGGCUUUGUAAGUCAGGGGUGAAAUAUGGCAGCUCAACUGUCAAGGUGCCAUUGAUACUGGGGAGCUUGAGUACAGAUGAGGUAGGCGGAAUUGACGGUGUAGCGGUGAAAUGCUUAGAUAUCGUCAAGAACACCUAUAGCGAAGGCAGCUUACUAGGCUGUAACUGACGCUGAGGCACGAAAGUGUGGGGAUCAAACAGG